GACGAACGCUGGCGGCGUGCCUAAUACAUGCAAGUAGAACGCAGUUGCGAACGGGUGAGUAACGCGUAGGUAACUGCCUCCUAGCGGGGGAUAACUAUUGGAAACGAUAGCUAAUACCGCAUACUGUUAGAUGGACCUGCGUUGUAUUAGCUAGUUUGUGAGGUAAAGGCUCACCAAGGCGACGAUACAUAGCCGACCUGCGAGGGUGAUCAGCCACACGGGGACUGGUACACGGCCCAGACUCCUACGGGAGGCAGCAGUGGGGAAUAUUGCACAAGGGGGGAAACCCUGAUGCAGCCAGGCCGCGUGUGUGAAGAAGGCCGUCGGGUUGGAAAGCACUUUCAGCGAGGAGGCGUUACUCGCAGAAGAAGCACCGGCUAACUCAGUGCCAGCAGCCGCGGUAAUAC
rnacentral:rRNA from 1 species